rnacentral:lncRNA from 1 species
UAACGUGUAGGGUCGGCCAAAACUGUACUUCUUGUUAUUAAAAACUGAAAAAGAAAAAAAAACCCUUUCAAAAUCUAACAAUACCUUCAAGUACACGGCCGUAAUCCUUAACUGAAAGCCUUUACCAGCAAAAAGGUACGAUGUUACAGUUUGAUCUUUCUUCUUAGUUUCUGUUAUUUUGCUGGUUAAAUUUAAUCGCCGCGGUCAUUUGUUUGUGUUUGUUUCUCUUCGACAUCAACGCCGCCGCACGGAUUUCAUUUGCCGUAGCUUUUCCCAGCAGCCAAACAGAUAAAUCAGGUUCAUUGUCUCAUAACUUUCUCCAAUUGGGUUAUUUUGCUUUCUUUAGAAAAUAGUAUUGGUGAUGUAAAACAAGCUCUGGAGGGUUUUUUUUUUUUUUUUUCAUUUCUUCAUCACACUAGAUACCUUUACACAUAGGUAAAUUAUUGGAACAAAGAUUCAGGGUUGAGCUGAUUUUGUAACCGAACACUGAAUUAAUAGUUAGUCCAGCUAGAAAAAUGAAAAAUAAAAUUAAGAAUAACUUCUGACAAUUGAUUUAGUGCCUAGCACAAAAUUAGCUUCGAGC